GACGAACGCUGGCGGCGUGCUUAACACAUGCAAGUCGAACGGAAAGGCCCUGCUUUUGUGGGGUGCUCGAGUGGCGAACGGGUGAGUAACACGUGAGUAACCUGCCCUUGACUUUGGGAUAACUUCAGGAAACUGGGGCUAAUACCGGAUAGGAGCUCCUGCUGCAUGGUGGGGGUUGGAAAGUUUCGGCGGUUGGGGAUGGACUCGCGGCUUAUCAGCUUGUUGGUGGGGUAGUGGCUUACCAAGGCUUUGACGGGUAGCCGGCCCGAGAGGGUGACCGGCCACAUUGGGACUGAGAUACGGCCCAGACUCCUACGGGAGGCAGCAGUGGGGAAUAUUGCACAAUGGGCGGAAGCCUGAUGCAGCAACGCCGCGGGCGGGAUGACGGCCUUCGGGUUGUAAACCGCUUUCGCCUGUGACGAAGCGUGAGUGACGGUAAUGGGUAAAGAAGCGCCGGCUAACUACGUGC
rnacentral:rRNA from 1 species